rnacentral:rRNA from 1 species
GAUGAACGCUAGCUACAGGCUUAACACAUGCAAGUCGUGGGGCAGCAUGAAGGAAGCUUGCUUCCUUUGAUGGCGACCGGCGCACGGGUGAGUAACGCGUAUCCAACCUUCCCCUUACUAGAGGAUAGCCCGGCGAAAGUCGGAUUAAUACUCUAUGUUCUCCUUUGAUGGCAUCAGAUGAGGAGCAAAGAUUCAUCGGUAAGGGAUGGGGAUGCGUCUGAUUAGGCAGUCGGCGGGGUAACGGCCCACCGAGCCGACGAUCAGUAGGGGUUCUGAGAGGAAGGUCCCCCACAUUGGUACUGAGACACGGACCAAACUCC